rnacentral:rRNA from 1 species
GACGCUCUCCCCAAGGACACAAGCCAUGCAUGCCCGCGCACCCGGGAGGCGGCGCUACGGCUCAGGACAACGGUUGCACCCCCCGCGGCGGUCCCUGCUAGCCGGACACCGCUGGCAACCCGGCGCCAAGACGUGCGCGCAAGGGCGGGCGCCCGCGGGCGAGCAGCGUGACGCAG